AAUCCAUAGGUUAAUGAGGCGAACCGGGGGAACUGAAACAUCUAAGUACCCCGAGGAAAAGAAAUCAACCGAGAUUCCCCCAGUAGCGGCGAGCGAACGGGGAGGAGCCCAGAGCCUGAAUCAGCAUGUGUGUUAGUGGAAGCGUCUGGAAAGGCGCGCGAUACAGGGUGACAGCCCCGUACACAAAAGCGCAUGUGCUGUGAGCUCGAUGAGUAGGGCGGGACACGUGGUAUCCUGUCUGAAUAUGGGGGGACCAUCCUCCAAGGCUAAAUACUCCUGACUGACCGAUAGUGAACCAGUACCGUGAGGGAAAGGCGAAAAGAACCCCGGCGAGGGGAGUGAAAAAGAACCUGAAACCGUGUACGUACAAGCAGUGGGAGCACAGGUUUACCUGUGUGACUGCGUACCUUUUGUAUAAUGGGUCAGCGACUUAUAUUCUGUAGCAAGGUUAACCGAAUAGGGGAGCCGGAGGGAAACCGAGUCUUAAUUGGGCGUUAAGUUGCAG
rnacentral:rRNA from 1 species